rnacentral:lncRNA from 1 species
GACUUGCUGCGAGUCUUGCCUUGGCCUUGUUCUCCGUCAUGGCCGCGGCUUGGCUCCGGUGGAACAUCCACACCAACAACACCCUCUUGUGCUAAGUUCGAAGUGUUAGCCAUUAUUUGUGAGCUAACUUGCGUGGGUGCAAACCUUAGCUCUGAUACCACCUGUCACGGGAUGAGUAUUUUGCGCAGCUAACUCGUGCGGCACUUAGACAACUUUGCCAAAGGUUGCUAAGUAAGCCUAGAGCUUCAUUCCCACUUUCGAUGCCUCAUCUCGUACCCCAACGGCAUCGAAGUAUUGAUCAAGUCUGAAUAGGAAGUUGUCCAUAAUUGUGGCAUUUCAUGUACCAUCAUAGGUGUCGGGCUUUGGCACGUCAAUGCGGCGCGUAUCACUCGUGCUGGUGGAAGCUGGACUUGAGGAGAGUGUGCGCUUGUGCCAUGCCCAAUCCGAGCGGGCUUCCUCCACUUCCGCACGGACACCACGUAGUUCGUCCUGGACAAAACUACGAAGUUUUAGCAAUUCGUCAUGAAAUGAACGAAACUCCCCUCGGAGAAGGUUCACUUGUUCUUGGAUGAGUGCCUUUGUUGCCACUGUGAACUCGGCAUAUUCCCCUUCGAGACCGUCCACUCGUUCCUCCAAACCCUCGAGGCUUUCUUGAGUGGCGGAGAAUACAUUUUCGAGAGUGUUCACACGAGGCUCCAACGCAUCCACAGAUGGGGCCUCGGACUUGCUGCGAGUCUUGCCUUGGCCUUGUUCUCCGUCAUGGCCGCGGCUUGGCUCCGGUGGAACAUCCACACCAACAACACCCUCUUGUGCUAAGUUCGAAGUGUUAGCCAUUGCUUGUGAGCUAACUUGCGUGGGUGCAAACCUUAGCUCUGAUACCACCUGUCACGGGAUGAUUAUUUUGCGCAGCUGACCCGUGCGGCACUUAGACAACUUGCCAAAGGUUGCUAAGUACGCCUAGAGCUUCUCGAACUAGAGAAGAAAGCAAUGAAGCCAAAUGAAGAACUUGUAUUGCACU